rnacentral:rRNA from 1 species
AUUGAACGCUGGCGGCAUGCCUUACACAUGCAAGUCGAACGGUAACGCGGGGCAACCUGGCGACGAGUGGCGAACGGGUGAGUAAUGCAUCGGAACGUGCCCAGUUGUGGGGGAUAGCCCGGCGAAAGCCGGAUUAAUACCGCAUACGACCUACGGGUGAAAGGGGGGGAUCGCAAGACCUCUCGCUAUUGGAGCGGCCGAUGUCAGAUUAGCUAGUUGGUGGGGUAAAGGCCUACCAAGGCGACGAUCUGUAGCUGGUCUGAGAGGACGACCGGCCACACUGGGACUGGGACACGGCCCAGACUCCUACGGGAGGCAGCAGUGGGGAAUUUUGGACAAUGGGCGAAAGCCUGAUCCAGCCAUGCCGCGUGCGGGAAGAAGGCCUUCGGGUUGUAAACCGCUUUUGUCAGGGAAGAAAUCUUCUGAGUUAAUACCUCGGGAGGAUGACGGUACCUGAAGAAUAAGCACCGGCUAACUACGUGCCAGCAGCCGCGGUAA